rnacentral:rRNA from 1 species
AACGAACGCUGGCGGCAUGCCUAACACAUGCAAGUCGAACGAGACCUUCGGGUCCAGUGGCGCACGGGUGCGUAACGCGUGGGAACCUGCCCUUAGGUUCGGAAUAACUCCCCGAAAGGGGUGCUAAUACCGGAUAAUGUCUUCGGACCAAAGAUUUAUCGCCUUUGGAUGGGCCCGCGUUGGAUUAGCUCGUUGGUAGGGUAAAAGCCUACCAAGGCGACGAUCCAUAGCUGGUCUGAGAGGAUGAUCAACCACACUGGGAAUGAGACACGGCCCAGACUCCUACGGGAGGAAGCAGCGGGGAAUAUUGGAAAAUGGGCGAAAGCCUGAUCCAGCAAUGCCGCGUGAGUGAUGAAGGCAUUAGGGUUGUAAAGCUCUUUUACCCGGGAUGAGAAUGACAGUACAGGGAGAAUAAGCUACGGCUAACUCCGUG